GAUGCACGUUCUUAUAGAAAUCUCAUCUGGUUGGCCUGAAUCCACAACUCGGGAACUCUUGACUCGUGAGAUAGUUGCCAAGGUUAAAAAAAAUCCAUUUCUUUCAGGAGUUCCAGCCAAUACCAUGUGUUUCUGCUGAAAUCCACCAUUGCAGUUAGAGGAGAAAAGAGAAGUCCUCGCUCAUCCCAUUAGAACUACAAGGCUAGAAAGUAGCAGAAAAGAGUCCCAAGGGCAAAGCCAGUCUUUUAUAAUCCAGUCCAUCUUCCUGCGCCUUAGUUAUCAAUUCUCUCUGACACAGCUCCAGUCUCUGGGAACCAACAGGAGUUCAGUGUGUCCUUCCAGCAAGGGACCCACAUGCCCGCCUCCAUGGGAGAUUCCUCUUUCUGGCAAAGAUAUUCCUCCAAAGAGCAAGUUUCUAAGGGAAUCUAAUGGCGAUCAAGAAGCAGAAGAAUUGGAAAAUUACCAGGAAAGGAAGAAACCCUUCCUUCUGCUACCCUAACUGGGACCUUAUGCCAACCUCAGAUGUGACUCCUCAAUCCCACCCUGAUCUCACCUUGCAGAGUCUGAAAUGCUGAGCUGGAAGGACCUAAAAGAUCAUCUAGUCCAUGGACCUUCUUGUGGAUGCUGGGAUUUUACUUGAAUGAAUUCAUGGAAGAGAUAUAUACACAAGGGCAUGAUUGACUGGUAACGAUUCAUCUAAAGAGGGUCCUGUCAAACACAGCUCCCGUGGGACUGAUGCCCAGGAAUGGAACAAGACAGAUACUUCCCAGACUAUUCUGAACAGAGUCCCUCUCCCUACCUUGUCCAAGCCCUGAGGAAGCUUUUACCAUAUACCCAAUACAUCUUUUACUUAUUCCCUAGAGCACCUAUUGCUCUGAGGAUUCAUGAAUGGAGGGAGCAGGGAAUAAAAGAUGAUACAGCCCAGGGAAACUGAGGGUAAAGUUCAGACUCUUUAUUUCCCCUGUGACUGAGCAUGGUGCUUUAUACAUAAUCAAGGGGCUUCUAGCCUCACACCUAACACAAAUUCAUUGUAUGACCUCUCAGAAAGGGACCCAUUUUCUUCAUCUUUAAAAUGGAGAUUUUACUUGUACUACCUACUUUACUGGAUUAUUGUAAGGAUAAAUGUUAUAUAAAGGAGUUGAAUUAGAUGACCACUUGGAACUCUGCCAGUUAUGAAUACCAUGAAGAUAUCAAAUGAGAAUAAAUGUAUAGAAAAUUU